rnacentral:rRNA from 1 species
UACGAAGGGUGCAAACGUUGCUCGGAAUUAUUGGGCGUAAAGCGCACGUAGGCGGCUUGGCAAGUCGGAUGUGAAAUCCCUCGGCUCAACCAAGGAAGUGCAUCCGAAACUGCUGAGCUUGAGUACUUAAAAGGAUCGCGGAAUUCCCGGUGUAGAGGUGAAAUUCGUAGAUAUCGGGAGGAACACCAGUGGCGAAGGCGGCGAUCUGGGAAGAUACUGACGCUGAGGUGCGAAAGCGUGGGGAGCAAACAGG